GACGAACGCUGGCGGCGUGCCUAAUACAUGCAAGUAGAACGCUGAAGCGAGGAGCUUGCUCUUCUUGGAUGAGUUGCGAACGGGUGAGUAACGCGUAGGUAACCUGCCUGGUAGCGGGGGAUAACUAUUGGAAACGAUAGCUAAUACCGCAUAAAAUGGAUUAUCGCAUGAUAAUCCAUUGAAAGGUGCAAAUGCAUCACUACCAGAUGGACCUGCGUUGUAUUAGCUAGUUGGUGGGGUAACGGCUCACCAAGGCGACGAUACAUAGCCGACCUGAGAGGGUGAUCGGCCACGGUGAGACUGAGACACGGCCCAGACUCCUACGGGAGGCAGCAAUAGGGAAUCUUCGGCAAUGGGCGGAAGUCUGACCGAGCAACGGCGCGUGAGUGAAGAAGGGUUUCGGAUCGUAAAGCUCUGUUGUGAGAGAAGAACGAGUGUGAGAGUGGAGAGUACACUGUGGCGGUAUCUGACCAGAAAGGGACGGCUAACUACGUG
rnacentral:rRNA from 1 species